rnacentral:rRNA from 1 species
UACGUAGGGGGCUAGCGUUGUUCGGAUUUACUGGGCGUAAAGGGCAUGUAGGCUGUUAUGCAAGUGUGGAUUUAAAGGCUGAGGCUUAACCUCAUGUAUGGUCUGCAAACUGCAUAACUAGAGUACGGAAGGGGAAACUGGAAUUCCGCGUGUAGGGGUGAAAUCUGUAGAGAUGCGGAAGAAUACCUGUGGCGAAGGCGAGUUUCUGGUCUGUAACUGACGCUGAAAUGCGAAAGUGUGGGGAG